GAGGCAAAAUGUAGAAUUGCAAUAGAGUGGAUCUGGUCCCAAACAACUACAAAUCAUAUUGAAGACAAUAAUAAAAGACAAUAAAGUCAUCACGAAAGGAGAAGAAAAUGUCCUUUAUUGGGUUAUAGACUAGAGAGGAAGGUAGAAGGACAUAUGGAGGAAUAAAAGGGAAUAAGCAAAGGCAUUGAUAACUGAAGGAUAAACCAAAACACAUUUUGAGAAACCCAACAAGCUCAUUAUUC
rnacentral:lncRNA from 1 species